rnacentral:rRNA from 1 species
UACGAGGGGGGCAAGUGUUGUUCGGAAUUACUGGGCGUAAAGUGUGCGCAGGCGGCAGAGCAAGUCGAGUGUGAAAGCCCCGGGCUUAACUUGGGAAUUGCGCUCGAAACUACUUUGCUGGAGUGUGGCAGAGGAAGGUGGAAUUCCACGUGUAGCGGUGAAAUGCGUAGAGAUGUGGAGGAACACCAAUGGCGAAGGCAGCCUUCUGGGCCAACACUGACGCUCAUGCACGAAAGCGUGGGGAGCAAACAGG